rnacentral:rRNA from 1 species
GAUGAACGCUGGCGGCGUGCCUAAUACAUGCAAGUCGAGCGAACAGACGAGGAGCUUGCUCCUCUUACGUUAGCGGCGGACGGGUGAGUAACACGUGGAUAACCUACCUAUAAGACUGGGAUAACUUCGGGAAACCGGAGCUAAUACCGGAUAAUAUAUUGAACCGCAUGGUUCAAUAGUGAAAGACGGUUUUGCUGUCACUUAUAGAUGGAUCCGCGCCGCAUUAGCUAGUUGGUAAGGUAACGGCUUACCAAGGCGACGAUGCGUAGCCGACCUGAGAGGGUGAGCGGCCACACUGGAACUGAGACACGGUCCAGACUCAUACGGGAGGCAGCAGUAGGGAAUCUUCCGCAAUGGGCGAAAGCCUGACGGAGCAACGCCGCGUGAGUGAUGAAGGUCUUCGGAUCGUAAAACUCUGUUAUUAGGGAAGAACAAAUGUGUAAGUAACUAUGCACGUCUUGACGGUACCUAAUCAGAAAGCCACGGCUAACUACGUG